ACAGCAGUCGCCGCGGUAAUACGUAGGUGGCAAGCGUUGUCCGGAAUUAUUGGGCGUAAAGGGCUCGCAGGCGGUUUCUUAAGUCUGAUGUGAAAGCCCCCGGCUCAACCGGGGAGGGUCAUUGGAAACUGGGAAACUUGAGUGCAGAAGAGGAGAGUGGAAUUCCGCGUGUAGCGGUGAAAUGCGUAGAGAUGUGGAGGAACACCAGUGGCGAAGGCGACUCUCUGGUCUGUAACUGACGCUGAGGAGCGAAAGCGUGGGGAGCGAACAGGAUUAGAUACCCCUGUAGUCCCUGUCUCUUAUAC
rnacentral:rRNA from 1 species